UACGAGGGGGGCAAGCGUUGUUCGGAAUUAUUGGGCGUAAAGGGCGCGUAGGCGGUGCGGUAAGUCACCUGUGAAAACUCUGGGCUCAACUCAGAGCCUGCAGGCGAAACUGCCGUGCUUGAGUGUGGGAGAGGUGCGUGGAGUUCCCGGUGUAGCGGUGAAAUGCGUAGAUAUCGGGAGGAACACCUGUGGCGAAAGCGGCGCACUGGACCACAACUGACGCUGAGGCGCGAAAGCUAGGGGAGCAAACAGG
rnacentral:rRNA from 1 species